CAGGCUUAACACAUGCAAGUCGAGGGGCAUCAGGAAGAAAGCUUGCUUUCUUUGCUGGCGACCGGCGCACGGGUGAGUAACACGUAUCCAACCUGCCCUUUACUCGGGGAUAGCCUUUCGAAAGAAAGAUUAAUACCCGAUAGCAUAAUGAUUCCGCAUGGUUUCAUUAUUAAAGGAUUCCGGUAAAGGAUGGGGAUGCGUUCCAUUAGGUUGUUGGUGAGGUAACGGCCCACCAAGCCUUCGAUGGAUAGGGGUUCUGAGAGGAAGGUCCCCCACAUUGGAACUGAGACACGGUCCAAACUCCUACGGGAGGCAGCAGUGAGGAAUAUUGGUCAAUGGGCGCUAGCCUGAACCAGCCAAGUAGCGUGAAGGAUGAAGGCUCUAUGGGUCGUAAACUUCUUUUAUAUAAGAAUAAAGUGCAGUAUGUAUACUGUUUUGUAUGUAUUAUAUGAAUAAGGAUCGGCUAACUCCGUGCCAGCAGCCGCGGUAAUACGGAGGAUCCGAGCGUUAUCCGGAUUUAUUGGGUUUAAAGGGAGCGUAGGUGGACUGGUAAGUCAGUUGUGAAAGUUUGCGGCUCAACCGUAAAAUUGCAGUUGAUACUGUCAGUCUUGAGUACAGUAGAGGUGGGCGGAAUUCGUGGUGUAGCGGUGAAAUGCUUAGAUAUCACGAAGAACUCCGAUUGCGAAGGCAGCUCACUGGACUGCAACUGACACUGAUGCUCGAAAGUGUGGGUAUCAAACAGGAUUAGAUACCCUGGUAGUCCACACAGUAAACGAUGAAUACUCGCUGUUUGCGAUAUACAGUAAGCGGCCAAGCGAAAGCAUUAAGUAUUCCACCUGGGGAGUACGCCGGCAACGGUGAAACUCAAAGGAAUUGACGGGGGCCCGCACAAGCGGAGGAACAUGUGGUUUAAUUCGAUGAUACGCGAGGAACCUUACCCGGGCUUAAAUUGCAGUGGAAUGAUGUGGAAACAUGUCAGUGAGCAAUCACCGCUGUGAAGGUGCUGCAUGGUUGUCGUCAGCUCGUGCCGUGAGGUGUCGGCUUAAGUGCCAUAACGAGCGCAACCCUUAUCUUUAGUUACUAACAGGUUAUGCUGAGGACUCUAGAGAGACUGCCGUCGUAAGAUGUGAGGAAGGUGGGGAUGACGUCAAAUCAGCACGGCCCUUACGUCCGGGGCUACACACGUGUUACAAUGGGGGGUACAGAAGGCAGCUAGCGGGUGACCGUAUGCUAAUCCCAAAAUCCCCUCUCAGUUCGGAUCGAAGUCUGCAACCCGACUUCGUGAAGCUGGAUUCGCUAGUAAUCGCGCAUCAGCCACGGCGCGGUGAAUACGUUCCCGGGCCUUGUACACACCGCCCGUCAAGCCAUGGGAGCCGGGGGUACCUGAAGUACGUAACCGCAAGGAUCGUCCUAGGGUAAAACUGGUGACUGG
rnacentral:rRNA from 1 species